rnacentral:rRNA from 1 species
GACGAACGCUGGCGGCGUGCUUAACACAUGCAAGUCGAACGGGCCCGCCCCUGUUUUUGGGGGUGGGUUGAGUGGCGAACGGGUGAGUAUCACGUGAGUAACCUGCCCCCUGCUCCUGGAUAACUGCUUGAAAGGGCGGCUAAUACGGGGUGUGCCGGCUGGUCCGCAUGGGCCUGGUCGGGAUAGUUUCAUCUUCGGGUGUUUCGGUGGGGGAUGGGCUCGCGGCCUAUCAGCUUGUUGGUGGGGUGAUGGCCCACCAAGGCGGUGACGGGUAGCCGGCCGGGGAGGGUGGGCGGCCACACUGGGACUGGGCCACGGCCCAGACUCCUGCGGGAGGCAGCAGGGGGGGGUAUUGGCCAAUGGGCGGAAGCCUGAUGCAGCGACGUCGCGUGAGGGAUGGAGGCCUUCGGGUUGUGAACCUCUUUCUCCGGUGGUGAAGGCCCUGUCCGUUGCGGCGGGGUUGACGGUAGCCGGGUAUGAAGCGCCGGCUAACUACG